CUCGAAAACUCUCCACUCCUCCCCUCGCUCCGUCGUCCAACAAAUAACAAUCGUCUCAAGAAUGACUUACCUUCUCCUAAGGCUUUUCCCUUUCACUUCUCGUACGUAAAUAAGAAAGCAACAGGAAAUUCAAGAGGGCGUACGAGGAAUCACGGCGCGUGACAUCGGGUGAAACACGAAAUGGCCGCCGUGCCGGAAGUGCGACGCAAAACAACUCUUAUGACAGAAAUGUCUGAUCCAACGAACCGAAUUGUAUGACCCCCAGGACAAAGGAUAGAGGCGACAUUGUUAUUGGUGCAGUCGUCGGAAAGUAGAACAAAGGAGAGUGGAGGGGGUAAAGCGUCAUCGAAACGAAACGGUUCUUGUGCGCAGCUCGAAAAUUCCAAAUCAAGAAGUCGUUGAGGUUGUGAUCGUUGCGACGACGAAAAUAAUUAUAGGGAAAGUAUAAAAUGGAGAGGAUCCGUCCUGGUUGGUGGGCCGCUCGAAAAUUUGGACUUUGGUUUUGCCGUCAGCAUUUUUGGGAACAUCAAGAGUAGUGGGUAUUUUGAUGGGUACUAUGGUGCCUUGAGGAAUGAGGAUGGGUUCAAGAUCG
rnacentral:lncRNA from 1 species